GCAAGUCGAACGGUAACAGAAAAAGCUUGCUUUUUGCUGACGAGUGGCGAACGGGUGCGUAACGCGUAUGCAACCUACCUUCUUCUAAGGAAUAGCCCAGAGAAAUUUGGAUUAAUACCUUAUGAUAAUAUUUAUUCGCAUGUUUAAAUAUUUAAAACUCCGGUGGAAGAAGAUGGGCAUGCGUAACAUUAGUUUGUUGGUGAGGUAAUGGCUCACCAAGACUACGAUGUAUAGGGGGUCCGAGAGGAUGAUCCCCCACACUGGUACUGAGACACGGACCAGACUCCUACGGGAGGCAGCAGUGAGGAAUAUUGGUCAAUGGACGAAAGCCUGAACCAGCCAUGCCGCGUGAAGGAUGACGGCCCUACGGGUUGUAAACUUCUUUUGUAUAGGAAGAAACCCCUCUACGUGUAGAGGGCUGACGGUACUAUUCGAAUAAGCACCGGCUAACUCCGUGCCAGCAGCCGCGGUAAUACGGAGGGUGCGAGCGUUAUCCGGAAUUAUUGGGUUUAAAGGGUGCGUAGGCGGAAAUUUAAGUCAGUGGUGAAAGCCUGCAGCUUAACUGUAGAAUUGCCAUUGAUACUGGAUUUCUUGAAUCUAAUAGAAGUAGGCGGAAUAUGACAUGUAGCGGUGAAAUGCUUAGAUAUGUCAUAGAACACCGAUAGCGAAGGCAGCUUACUAUGUUAGUAUUGACGCUAAUGCACGAAAGCGUGGGGAGCGAACAGGAUUAGAUACCCUGGUAGUCCACGCCGUAAACGAUGAUUACUCGCUAUUGGCGAUACACUGUCAGUGGCUAAGCGAAAGUGAUAAGUAAUCCACCUGGG
rnacentral:rRNA from 1 species